rnacentral:lncRNA from 1 species
GCUAGGUUCCGGAACCUGACCUGAGCUGGGGCCUGUGCUUCCAGCGGGUGGUGGGGGGCCUGGUGUGCUGGCAUCAAGUAAGCCGACUACCUCGGCAAAGGCUUAGGGACAAGAGACCAGCAGCCUGAACUGGCUGGGGCAUCCGGAAGGCUUAGAUCUUGUGGCCAAGAGUUCAGACCGUGGCGAAGUGGAGAGUGACAUGCAGUUGGAUGGCGGUGACUGCGUGAGUUUUGUCCUUACUGCCCAGUCUGGAGUGCAAUGGCACAAUCUUGGCUCACCACAACCUCCGCCUCCUGGGUUCAAGCGAUUCUCCUGCCUCAGCAUCCUGAGUCACUGGGAUUACAGGCAUGUGCCACCACACCUGGCUAAUUUUGUAUUUUUAGUAAAGACAGGGUUUUUCUAUGUUGGUCAGGCUGGUCUCGAACUCACAACCUCAGGUUAUCCGCCCACCUCGGCCUCCGAAAGUGCUGGGAUUACAGGAAUGAGCCACCGCACCCAGCCUGCAGCUAAAGAUUUUUAAAAAUUGAAUACAAUUUAUGUCAGUAAAAUGGUAGACUAAGAACUCUGAGGGAAAAAAGCAAGGGAAAAAAAACUCACAAUCAACACUGUAGGAACUCUGUAAAUUAAUCAAAUGUGUAUAGAAACCUAGGGAAUAAAAUGGAGAAAAAUGGCUGAAUACCAUUAAGAAUAGGGAGCUUUAUCCAUUUUAACUUCUACUGAUACUAUUCCCUAUAUUCCAGCUUGUCUGAACCCGUGGAAAAUAUAACAGUUCACCUUAUUGAUACUAAAGAGAGCAUGUCAGUGGUAUACAUCUUUCAAAGCCAUAUUCCCAAAGAAUAGUCACUCUUUAACAUGUUUAGUUGUCCCUGGAACACCCAACUUGAAAAUGUAGUCAUUAUUUUGCCUGAUUUAGGACUCAGUAUUAAAAACCACUUUCUGUGGACAUGACUCAAAAACAUUUAAAUACAAUUGUUUUAGUUGCUCCAGCCUGAGAUAAUGGAUAUUAGGCAAACAAUAGAUUGUCCAACAAACUUAAGAGGAAAAGAUGAGGAGUGAAUAAUGCAUAUGGGCUUGGAAAUGUUUCAACCAAUUUGGGGGAUACUAAAAAGACAAAUGCAUGCAUAGAAAUGUGGGCAUGCUAAACAGAGACCUGAACAGGCCCAAAGAUAUGACUUCUGGCUGACUUUGAGUAUCUAGGUAAACAGAAAGUGAAGACUAAGAAACAGGUGCAGACCAUCUGGCUGAGUGUUGAAGUCAAUGCCCCAGCAUGCACACUGAGACCCUUGGCAAAAGGGGAUUUUACUAUUAAUGAUAAAAGAAUAAAAUGUGUCAUAAAAAAUACUGUGAACAGUUGUAUGACAAAUUGAAUAACAUAGAUGAAAUAGACAAAUUCCUAGAAUGACAGAAACUGCUGUCAUAAAGGCAUAAAGACAUUUAGUCGGUAUCUUAAAAACUUCCAACAAAGAAAAGCCGAGAUUAGAUGUAACCACUCAAAAAUAUUACCAAAUGCUUAAAGGAUGAAUGGCACUACUCCUCAAACUAUUCUAAACCAUAGAAUUAGAGGGAAUAAUUCUUAGCAUAUACUGUGGGGCCAGUAUAGUCACAAUGCCAAUGCCAGACAACAAAGUAACAAGAAAAGAAAUCUUCAGAAUGCACAAGCUUCAGUAGCUGAUUCGAUCAAAUGGAAGACAGGGUAUCAGUGACUGAAGAUCAAAUGAAUGAAAUGAAGUGAGAAGAGAAGUUUAGAGAAAAAAGAGUAAAAAGAAAUGAACAAAGACUCCAAGAAAUAUGGGACUAUGUGAAAAGACCAAAUCUAUGUCUGAUUGAUGUACCUGAAAGUGACGGGGAGAAUGGAACCAAGUUGGAAAACACUCUUCAGGAUAUUAUCCAGGAGAACUUGCCCAACCUAGCAAGGCAGGCCAACAUUCAAAUGCAGAAAUUACAGAGAACUCCUCGAGAUACAAGAUACUCCUUGAGAAGAACAACUCCAAGACACAUAAUUGUCAGGUUCACCAAAGUUGAAAUGAAGGAACAAAUAUUAAGGGCAGCCAGAGAGAAAGGUCGGGUUUCCCACAAAGGGAAGCCCAUCAGACUAACAGUGGAUCUCUUGGCAAAAACUCUACAAGCCAGUAGAGAGUGGGAGCCAAUAUUCAACAUUCUUAAAGAAAAGAAUUUUCAACCCAGAAUUUCAUAUCCAGCCAAACUAAGCUUCAUAAGUGAAGGAGAAGUAAAAUCCUUUACAGAUGAUCAAAUGCUGAGAGAUUUUGUCACCACCAGGCCUGCCCUACAAGAGCUCCUGAAGGAAGCACUAAAAAUAGAAAGGAACAACCAGUACCAGCCACUGCAAAAACAUGCCAAAUUGUAAAGAUCAUCGAUGCUAGGAAGAAACUGCAUCAACUAACGAGCAAAAUAACCAGCUAACAUCAUAAUGACAGGAUCAAAUUCACACAUAAGGAUAUUAACCUUAAAUGUAAAUGAGCUAAAUGCUCCAAUUAAAAGACACAGACUGGCACAUUGGAUAGAGUCAAGACACAUCAGUGUGCUGUAUUCAGGAGACCCAUCUCACGUGCAGAGAAACACAUAGGCUCAAAAUAAAGGGAUGGAUGAAGAUCUACCAAGCAAAGAGAAAACAGAAAAAUGCAGGGGUUGCAAUCCUAGUCCCUGAUAAAACAGACUUUAAACCAACAAAGAUCAAAAGAGACAAAGAAGACCAUUACAUAAUGGUAAAGGGAUCAAUUCAACAAGGAGAGCUAACCUGAAUAUAUAUGCACCCAAUACAGGAGUACCCAGAUUCAUAAAGCAAGUCCUUAGAGACCUACAAAGAGACUUAGACUCCCACACAGUAAUAAUGGGAGACUUUAACACCCUACUGUCAACAUUAGACAGAUCAAUAAGACAGAUAGUUAACAAGGAUAUCCAGUAAUUGAACUGAGCUCUGCACCAAGUGGACCUAAUAGACAUCUACAGAACUCUCCACCCCAAAUCAACAGAAUAUAUAUUCCUUUCAGCACCACAUCCCACUUAUUCCAAAAUUGACCACGUAGUUGGAAGUAAAGCACUCUUCAGCAAAUGUAAAAGAACACAAAUUAUAACAAACUGUCUCUCAGACCACAGUGCAAUCAAACUAGAACUCAGGAGUAAGAAACUCACUCAAAACCGCUCAACUACAUGGAAACUGAACAACCUGCUCCUGAAUGACUACUGGGUACAUAGCAAAAUGACGGCAGAAAUAAAGAUGUUCUUUGAAACCAAUGAGAACAAAGACACAACCUACCGGAAUCUCUGGGACACAUUUAAAGCAGUGUGUAGAGGGAAAUUUAUAGCACUAAAUGCCCGCAAGAGAAAGCAGGAAAGAUCCAAAAUUGACACCCUAACAUCACAAUUAAAAGAACUAGAGAAGCAAGAGCAAACACAUUCAAAAGCUGGCAGAAGGCAAGAAAUAACUAAGAUCAGAGCAGAACUGAAGGAGAUAG